UACAGAGGUCCCAAGCGUUGUUCGGAUUCACUGGGCGUAAAGGGUGCGUAGGUGGCCAGGUAAGUUUGGUGUGAAAGCUCGGAGCUUAACUCCGAAAAGUCAUUGAAUACUAUCUGGCUGGAGGGUCGGAGGGGAGACUGGAAUUCUCGGUGUAGCAGUGAAAUGCGUAGACAUCGAGAGGAACACCAGUGGCGAAGGCGGCCUUCUGGACAGUGACUGACGCUGAGACGCGAAAGCGUGGGGAGCAAACAGG
rnacentral:rRNA from 1 species